CAACCCUUGACAUCCUGUGCUACAUCCAGAGAUGGAUGGUUCCCUUCGGGGACGCAGUGACAGGUGCUGCAUGGCUGUCGUCAGCUCGUGUCGUGAGAUGUUCGGUUAAGUCCGGCAACGAGCGCAACCCACAUCCUUAGUUGCCAGCAGUUCGGCUGGGCACUCUAAGGAAACUGCCCGUGAUAAGCGGGAGGAAGGUGUGGAUGACGUCAAGUCAUCAUGGCCCUUACGGGAUGGGCUACACACGUGCUACAAUGGCAGAUACAGAGGGCAGCGAGACCGCGAGGUGGAGCGAAUCCCACAAAGUCUGUCGUAGUCCGGAUUGGAGUCUGCAACUCGACUCCAUGAAGUCGGAAUCGCUAGUAAUCGUGGAUCAGAAUGCCACGGUGAAUACGUUCCCGGGUCUUGUA
rnacentral:rRNA from 1 species